rnacentral:rRNA from 1 species
AGCAGUAGCCGCGGGAAUGCGGAGGGGGCUAGCGUUGUUCGGAAUUACUGGGCGUAAAGCGCACGUAGGCGGCUUGGUAAGUUAGAGGUGAAAGCCCGGAGCUCAACUCCGGAAUUGCCUUUAAGACUGCCGAGCUAGUAGGUGAGAGAGGUAAGUGGAAUUCCGAGUGUAGAGGUGAAAUUCGUAGAUAUUCGGAAGAACACCAGUGGCGAAGGCGGCUUACUGGCUCAUUCUAGACGCUGAGGUGCGAAAGCGUGGGGAGCAAACAGGAUUAGAUACCCCUGUAGUCCCUGUCUCUUAUAC